UCAAACUUGGUCAUUUAGAGGAAGUAAAAGUCGUAACAAGGUUUCCGUAGGUGAACCUGCGGAAGGAUCAUUAAAAAAAUUGCCUAAGACAUUCGUGUCCCAAGGCCCACACUGGGUGCACCGUUUAAACCGUUCUUUGGCAGGGUCUUUGGGUUCUUUUUUUUUGGGGGGGCCCAACUUCUCGUAGACUCUAUCCUUGUGAAAACGAGGACAGUCGAACAUGGGAAGCAGUUUUACCCUGCCAAGUAACUCUUAAAACACGCAUUUUUGUCUGAAACAUCGUUUUUUUUGCGAUAUUAACGCAUAAAUAAAAACAUAACUUUCAACAACGGAUCUCUUGGCUCUCGCAUCGAUGAAGAACGCAGC
rnacentral:misc_RNA from 1 species